rnacentral:rRNA from 1 species
UACGUAGGGUGCAAGCGUUAAUCGGAAUUACUGGGCGUAAAGCGUGCGCAGGCGGUUGUGCAAGACCGAUGUGAAAUCCCCGGGCUUAACCUGGGAAUGGCAUUGGUGACUGCACGGCUAGAGUGUGUCAGAGGGGGGUAGAAUUCCACGUGUAGCAGUGAAAUGCGUAGAGAUGUGGAGGAAUACCGAUGGCGAAGGCAGCCCCCCUGGGAUAACACUGGACGCUCAUGCACGAAAGCGUGGGGAGCAAACAGG